rnacentral:misc_RNA from 1 species
AUGAAAGACUCUAUGGAGCAAUGUUGGUGUCCAUCAAAAUCUUCUUUGAGUGCUAAAAUUUCAUCCAAGAUUGAACCACCAAACCCCGGAAUGGUCACUGCAGUGACAUCACUACUCAGGUCUUUGGGAGAAGACCCAUUAANNNNCUUGUUGGAACUCCUAAUCGUUUUGUGAAGUGGUUGAUGAACUUCCAGAAUGCAAAACUGGAGAUGAAGCUGAAUGGCUUUGGUUGUGGCAGGAUAGAUACUCUUAAAGCCAA